UUGACACCUGUGGGGAAUACUUACAUGACUAAAGAUUAGCAUGAGUGUAAAUGUUUUCAGGAUUUAUGCCAAUGUUUGCAAAUAAAUUUGCUUACUUAGUUGACUUAAAAUUCUCUUACUCUCUCCUCCAGUGGUUACAUUUGAGAUUUUAUCAGAUGAUUACUCAAAGAUUGUCUUCUUGCAGUGUGGCAGGUUUGUGGAGUUUCAUUCACAACAUGGCCAUUACUACAGGACAAGAAUACCAAAAUUUGGUAGAGAUUUCUCUUAUCACUAUCCAUCUUGUGACCUGUACUUUGUAGGAGCAAGUUCUGAAGUAUACAGGCUAAAUCUGGAACAAGGAAGAUUUCUGAACUCCCUGCAAACUGAAGCUUCGUAAGUUAUCUGUAAUGCAUGACAUCUAUCUGUCUUCUUUCCACCAGGUGGAAGCAGACUACUAGCAUGCUCACCAUCAGUACU
rnacentral:lncRNA from 1 species